rnacentral:rRNA from 1 species
AUGCGACGCCGCGAGGCCGAGNGAACCCCANAAACGGCGCCCAGUUCGGACUGCAGCCUGCAACCCGGCUGCACGAAGCCGGAAUCGCUAGUAAUCGCGGAUCAGAACGCCGCGGUGAAUACGUUCCCGGGUCUUGUACACACCGCCCGUCACACCAUGGGAGUCGGGAACGCCCGAAGUCAGCGGCCCAACCGCGAGGGGGGAGCUGCCGAAGGCGGGCCCGGUGACUGGGGUGAAGUCGUAACAAGGUAUC